rnacentral:tRNA from 1 species
GUUUCUAUAGUUUAAUUAAAACGUUAAAUUGCAAGUUUAGAGAUGAUGAAAUUUAGAAAUU